UCAAUGUAAACUGACAUUUGUUAUUUAUCGUGUUCAGCUUGUUUAGCCCCUUAGUAGCCUUUGAAGUACAGUGUACAUUUUGAUCAUUUAUGCUCCUUAAUUAAAAAGUGAUAUAUAGAUGUAGGUAGAUUACUGCCCCCUCUUUUUUAUUAUUGACUAAACUGCUAUUUACCUUGCCUUUAUUUCAUCCCUGAAACAGACUCCUCAAUGCACCCUCACGCCCUCCGGUAAACUGAUUACUUUUGUCCAAUUAGAUGCAUUGAGGAUACAGCAUCUUACAUAACCAUUCAUUGUACGCUGACACCAUACAUCAAAUACAUUCAGUUAUUGAAUCUAUUUCAAUCUGUAGUCCCCAGUGGCUGUACGUAUGACAGUCACUAGCAGACGUGAAAACCGUGCCCUUUCUGAGAAAUGGUUUUGUUUUUUUUAGCACAGUUGAAGGGACAUCAUCU